CCUACGGGGGGCAGCAGUAGGGAAUAUUGGACAAUGGGCGAAAGCCUGAUCCAGCCAUGCCGCGUGAGUGAUGAAGGCCUUAGGGUUGUAAAGCUCUUUCGGCGGGGACGAUAAUGACGGUACCCGCAGAAGAAGCCCCGGCUAACUUCGUGCCAGCAGCCGCGGUAAUACGAAGGGGGCUAGCGUUGUUCGGAAUCACUGGGCGUAAAGCGUAUGCAGGCGGAUCGUUAAGUCGGGGGUGAAAUCCCGAGGCUCAACCUCGGAACUGCCUUCGAUACUGGCGACCUUCGAGUCCGGGAGAGGUGAGUGGAAUUCCGAGUGUAGAGGUGAAAUUCGUAGAUAUUCGGAAGAACACCAGUGGCGAAGGCGGCUCACUGGCCCGGUACUGACGCUGAGAUACGAAAGCGUGGGGAGCAAACAGGAUUAGAUACCCUAGUAGU
rnacentral:rRNA from 1 species